GAAAUGCGAUAAGUAGUGUGAAUUGCAGAAUUCAGUGAAUCAUCGAAUCUUUGAACGCACAUUGCGCCCCUUGGUAUCCCGAGGGGCAUGCCUGUUCGAGCGUCAUUAUCACCACUCAAGCCUGGCUUGGUGUUGGGUGCCGCCCCGCCCUCUGCGGCGCGGGCGCUCCCUAAAACUAUCGGCGGUGCAGCACCGGCUUCGAGCGUAGCAGACCUUCGCUUUCUGGGGCCCGGUGCGGCAGCGGCCGCGACGACACAACCUCUAGGUUGACCUCGGAUCAGGUAGGGAUACCCGCUGAACUUAAGC
rnacentral:misc_RNA from 1 species